AUGUUCGAGUAUCUAAAUGUUGUCAGCAAGAUGUUUGAUAGUAAGGCUGAAGGCUAUGAAUUCUACAACAAAUAUGCUCUUGAAAAAGGUUUUAGUGUGAGGAAAAGCUACGUUGAGUGGGAUGGAUCCAACAAAUACAUAAUUUUAAGG
rnacentral:rRNA from 1 species